UGAAUCAAACUGCUGUGAAUAUUUUUUACAGAAUCUUUUUUUGGGAUUUGUGUUUUUUUAUAUUUCUGGAAUAACUGCCCAGAAGAGAAUUGUUGGGUGCUAGUUUUUCUUUUAAAAGCAACUGGCAGACUUCCCCCCUAAAGUGAUUGGACCAUUUCACAUUUCCACCAACAAUAUAUGACGGUUCCAGUUGCUCCACAUGCUUGCCAACAUUUAAUGUUGUCAGUCUUUUUAAUUUUAGCCAUUCCGGUGGGUGUACAGUGGAUCUCAUUACGGUUUCAAUUUACAUUUCCCUGAUGACUAACAAUAUUUUUGAUGUGCUUAUUGGCCACUCAUAUUUCUUCCUUUAUGGAGUGUCUGUUCCAAUCUUUCACCGGUAAAAAUUUCUGGAUUUUUUUUUUUAAUUAUUGGCUUGUAGAAGUUCUUUAUCUAGUCUGGAUAACAAGUCUUUAAUCAGCUAUAUGUUUUGCAAACAUUUUCCCCGAGGGUGUGGCCUGCUUAUUCAUUUUUUUUUUUUUUUCCCCACACCCGCAGCAUGCCAAGUUCCCAGGCCAGGGAUUGAAACCAAACCACAGCCGUAACAGUGCCGGAUCCUUUUUUUUUUUUUUUUUGUCUUUUUGCCAUUUUCUUGGGCUGUUCCCACAGCAUAUGGAGGUUCCCAGGCUAGGGGUUGAAUCAGAGCUUCAGCUGCCAGCCUACGCCACAGACACAGCAACUCGGGAUCUGAGCUGCAUCUGUGACCUACACCACAGCUCACGGCAAUGCUGGAUCCUUAACCCACUGAGAGAGGCCGGGGAUGGAACCCGCUUCCUCAUGGAUACUAGCCAGGUUCGUUACCACUGAACCACAGUGAGAACUCUAUGUCUGUCCUUCUGGGGCUCCCAGAACAUGGAUGUCGAUAGGUCAAUUUCUGUUGUCCCAAUUUCCUUGUAUUUAUUUAUUUUUAAAAUAUUUUCCAUCUCUUUGUCCUUUCCUGAUGCUUCCUGGGAAAAUUGCCCAAUGCGAUAUUCCAGCUCGCUGGAUUAUCCUUUGGUGGUUAUGGAGUGCUUUAUUUGGGGAAUAAAGUGUAAGUCUGCACCCCCUCCUGUGAGUCCAGAGGCAUGCCCUGAGUUCUGGGCACCCUUGGCACUGCCCCCACCGCUCCCAUGCAUCACUGGUCACUGUUCCCUCCCCCUAACUCCCUGCCCCUUGUCACCAGUCACCACAAGGAGCCCGGAGUCCCAGGACCCCUCCCCAGGGAGACCUUUCCUCUCCAUUCCAUUGAGAAUCCACUCCCAUCCUGCUUACCUCCUCUGUCGUGCCUACACCGUCUAAUAUUUGCUGCAUUUAUUUCUUUGUCUUACCUAUUUUCUGUCUCUCCUGCCAGAAUGUAGGGGCAAAGAAGACAGCACUUCUUGUCUGUUUUGUUCGCUAAUAUUUCCCCAUCAUCUGGCUCCAGGGAUGCUCAAUAAACAUUUGCUGAGUGAAUCAAUGCUGGCGCUAGCUUCUUCAUUUCACCUGUUAUUAUCAUUUCUUUAUCUAUUUUUAAGAGCUGCCUUUUAUCAGAGAGCUUCUUUGUGGCAGAAGCAGUCCUUAUAGCCAUGGUAUUAUUUCCAUAUUAAUCAAUCAGUUAAUUAAUUCCUAUAUGUUCUUAUUGCGGAAAAACACACAUACUAUAAAAGGCGCCACCUUAACCCUCCAGCAGUGCACAGUUUGUUAGCGUUGUGUCCGUUCACCUUCUCCCGCAGUCUGUGCUACCACCCACCCCUGGACCUCUUCCACGGCCCCAGACCGAAACUCUGUCCCCAGGAAGCACAGCU
ensembl:lncRNA